GAAUAAUUAAAUAACAGUCAGAGUAAUUAAAUAACAGUCAGAGUAAUUAAAUAACAGUCGGAGUAAUUAAGUAACAGUCUGAAUAAUUAAAUAACAGUCAGAGUAAUUAAAUAACAGUCAGAGUAAUUAAAUAACAGUCGGAGUAAUUAAGUAACAGUCUGAAUAAUUAAAUAACAGUCAGAGUAAUUGGGUAACAGUCGGAGUAACUGGGUAACAGUCAGAGUAAUUAAGUAACAGUCGUCGUAAUUGAGUAACAGUCGGAGUAAUUGGGUAACAGUCGGUGUAAUUGGGGUAACAGUCGGAGUAAUUGCGUAACAGUCGGAGUAAUUGAGUAACAGUCGGAGUAAUUGAGUAACAGUCGGAGUAAUUAAGUAACAGUCGUCGUAAUUGAGUAACAGUCGGAGUAAUUGGGGUAACAGUCAGAGUAAUUGAGUAACAGUCGGAGUAAUUAAGUAACAGUCGUCGUAAUUGAGUAACAGUCGGGGUAAUUGGGGUAACAGUCAGAGUAAUUGGGUAACAGUCGGAGUAAUUAGGUAACAGUCGGAGUAAUUGGGUAACAGUCAGAGUAAUUGGGUAACAGUCGGAGUAAUUGGGUAACAGUCGGAGUAAUUGGGUAACAGUCGGAGUAAUUAAGUAACAGUCGGAGUAAUUGGGUAACAGUCGGAGUAAUUGGGUAACAGUCGGAGUAAUUGAGUAACAGUCGGAGUAAUUGGGUAACAGUCGGAGUAAUUGGGU
ensembl:lncRNA